CCUACGGGUGGCAGCAGUAGGGAAUCUUCCACAAUGGGCGCAAGCCUGAUGCAGCAACGCCGCGUGGGUGAUGAAGGCCUUCGGAUUGUAAAACCCUGUUGUUAGAGAAGAAAGUGCGUGAGAGUAACUGUUCACGUUUCGACGGUAUCUAACCAGAAAGCCACGGCUAACUACGUGCCAGCAGCCGCGGUAAUACGUAGGUGGCAAGCGUUAGCCGGAUUUAUUGGGCGUAAAGGGAACGCAGGCGGUCUGUUAAGUCUGAUGUGAAAGCCUUCGGCUUAACCGGAGUAGUGCAUUGGAAACUGGCAGACUUGAGUGCAGAAGAGGAGAGUGGAACUCCAGGUGUAGCGGUGAAAUGCGUAGAUAUAUGGAAGAACACCGGUGGCGAAGGCGGCUCUCUGGACUGUAACUGACGCUGAGGUUCGAAAGCGUGGGUAGCAAACAGGAUUAGAUACCCCAGUAGUC
rnacentral:rRNA from 1 species